rnacentral:rRNA from 1 species
AACGAACGCUGGCGGCAUGCCUAACACAUGCAAGUCGAACGAGACCUUCGGGUCUAGUGGCGCACGGGUGCGUAACGCGUGGGAACCUGCCCUUAGGUUCGGAAUAACUCCCCGAAAGGGGUGCUAAUACCGGAUAAUGUCUUCGGACCAAAGAUUUAUCGCCUUUGGAUGGGCCCGCGUUGGAUUAGCUAGUUGGUAGGGUAAAAGCCUACCAAGGCGACGAUCCAUAGCUGGUCUGAGAGGAUGAUCAGCCACACUGGGACUGAGACACGGCCCAGACUCCGCCGGGAGGAGCGGGGGGGGAAUAUUGGAACGGGGGGAAAGUCUUGAACCACACUGGCCGGGUGAGGAAGAAGGCUUUGGGGGUUUAAAAGCUUUUUCACCGGGGAUAAUAUUGACGGGACGGGAAAAAAAACCCCCGGCAAACCCCGCC